GGAAAAGGUGUUACCUAAGAAAAUGGCUGAACUUAGGUUGUACUUUGUUUUUAGCUGGAAAUCUUUACUGGACCACUAUUAAAGCUACUUUAUGCUAUCAUUUUGAUUACUUCAAGAUCAUAAAUGAAAUACUUUUAAUGGAGAGUCAAAGUUCUAUGUUCUAUGGCAAUAAAAGGACCAUGUGUGACAUUGCUAAAUGGAAAGGAAAAGCAAGAAAGCUAUUAUUUCUAUACCCGUAUAUAUUCCUUAUCAUGAGCGUGACGUUUCCCCUCAAGGUAUUUCUUCAGACAAAGAAAGGAAUCUGGUGUUUAAUGAAAAACUACUCCAUUUUAUUGCUAUAUACAGGAAGAUCAAUGCAUCAAAUCUUAUACCUACCUUUAACACAGAACAGAUUCUCUCGGCCAUCUCUAAAAUAGGUUCACAUAAAAUUACUUAUACUUGAGACAAUUAAUUUUAGUUCAUAUUAUUGUAAAAUACAAGUUUAUCUAUUGCAAGACACUAAUGAAAGCUACUAUACUAGGAAGUACCAGAUUUGUAGUAACAUUAAAUGCAAAUGAUAUUAUUUACCUACCACAAAAAUAACAAGACUUCCAAGACUACUGAUAUGGCACACGUGCAAUGUAUAUAUAUUGCCUUAUUCUAUCAAAAUUUCAAGGUCAGAAUCAUGAA